UGUAAAUCUCUUGUUUCUCCUUCUCAACUUAGGCUCUUUGAUCCCUUCUCUUGCUUGCCCUUACUGUCCUUACCCAACUCCACCUUCACCGAAGCAUCCUCCUAAGUUCCCACCCAAACACCCUCCUAAGGUAAAGCCACCCUCUCACCAUAAACCUCCCAAACACUACCCACCUAAGCCACCCAAACCUCCGGUGGUUCCCAAACCACCCGUUGUCAAACCACCAACCGUACCAAAACCACCGGUUGUCAAGCCUCCAA
rnacentral:misc_RNA from 1 species